GUGCCAGCAGCCGCGGUAAUACGUAGGCAGCGAGCGUUGUUCGGAGUUACUGGGCGUAAAGGGUGCGUAGGCGGCCGAUUAAGUUUGUCGUGAAAUCUCCCGGCUUAACUGGGAGGGUGCGGCGAAUACUGACCGGCUCGAGUGUGGGAGAGGAGAGUGGAAUUCCUGGUGUAGCGGUGAAAUGCGUAGAUAUCAGGAGGAACACCGGCGGUGUAGACGGCUCUCUGGACCAUAACUGACGCUGAGGCACGAAAGCGUGGGUAGCAAACAGGAUUAGAUACCCCCGUAGUCC
rnacentral:rRNA from 1 species